UUUUUCUUUUUUUUUUUUUUUUUUGAGAUGGAGUCUCGCUUUGUCACCCAGGCUGGAGUGCAGUGGCGCGAUCUCAGCUCACUGCAACCUCUGCCUCCCGGGUUCAAGCGAUUCUCCUGCCUCAGCAUCCUGAGUAGCUGGGAUUACAGGCACCCGCCACCACGGCAGGCUAAUUUUUGUAUAUUUAAUAGAAACGGGGUUUCACCAUGCUGGACAGGCUGGUCUUGAACUCCUGACCUCAGGUGUUCUGCCCGCCUCGGCCUCCCAAAGUGCUGGGAUUACAGGUGUGAUCCUGUAAUCCCACUGCACCUGGCCAAGUCACAUUAAUUUUGAAUCAUCCACUUAUGGAAAGGAACAGAAGUUAAAAAGUAUUAACCAGGAAAAACUAUUAACACAGGUGCUCAUCCGUGUGUGUGCGCGCGCGCGCACACACACACACACACAUUUCAAGCCAGUCUCCUGAAGGAAGAGGCACUAAUGGCAGGUGCCUAGAGUCCCCACCAGAGCAGCUGCCUUCCUCCCUUCUCCCUUUGCUCGGCACCUGCCAGAGCAGCCACAGAAGCCAGGUUCUGAGGGCUGUGGAAGCUUGGGACCAGGAACGACAGGCUAGUAACUAUGUUCUUCACCAUCCUCAAAGUCCUGUGAACCCAAAGACAGGACUUGCAAAACUGAGGAAGGGGGUGCUUUUCCCUGUCCUUGUCCCUGUGAUAACCAGGGCUGCCUAGUCUCAUCCCCAGCCUCUGGGUUCCCUCCCCUGCUCUAGACUUCAGGGCAGUUAGAAUGGAUGACUCCUGCUGGAUCUAGGGCUAAAUAGAAACUUCUCUGUCAUAUCUUCAGUCUGAUGAAGGACUGAGCCCCCAUUCAAAGAGGUCAGAUUUGUGGGUAGGCAAGAGCUCAGGAAUGAAGAACCAAAAAGGAGGCUCUCAACCCCUCUCCAAGACCAGAUACUCUAUGUACUCCCAUUAACUUCACAACUAAGUGCAGAUGCUCAGUGAAUUCAGAGACAACUUAGCCCUGCCCCACCCUUCCUGGUGUCACCUGGCACUGGGAACACACAGAUUGCAGCAGAAACCUGUUGGUUCCAUUUGCACUCAGAGCAAACCAAGCAGCACCUUGAUUGCCACGUUUCAUCCAGCCACUCUGUCAAAAUCAAAACUGGUUGCCUCACCAGCCCUGAUGUGGCAUGGCCCAACCAUGUCCCUGCCCCAUUUAAAUGGCCAGAGAAAACUACAUGGCGAGUAGAUUAGGUUGAAGCCUUGCUUGGGGAAGGGACUUGAGCACAGGAGAAAGGCUUGAGCUCCACAACUCCCUGCUUGCUCAGACAUUGGAGCUUUUCUGAGAUGAAGUACUCCCCAGGCUACGUGGGAACGGCCCUCUGUGGUCUGGGCAGGCUGGCUGAGUGAGAGAGGUCUGUGCUCUCAGGGAAAAGGAGAGAAGGAAGCUGGGUCAAGAGACCCUGAAGGGGAGGGUCCAUGUCUGGAGUGCAGGGAACUGAGCCCUGCUGGCUACUUGACCUGGGUGGGCUGCUGGCUUUGCCCUGGAAGAGUUGACUAUGUGGGCCUUCAUGUGUCUAGAGGAUUUUUCUUCUCCAGCAUGUAACUACCUUGAGAAUGGAUGUGAUAUGUGAAAAUUUAAGCUUAAUACAAAAGCACGUCUUCUGCAAAUGGUGAGUCAAACUGGUGAAAUCUUCCAGGUAAACUCUGAGCAAGAAAAAAGAGGACAUGACUUUAGGAAAAUCCCAAACUAGGUUUGGUUUUAAAAUGUUCUUCUUGGCUGGCUCUCCUCUCCUGCAAGUUGCCUUUAUCCACUUGGGGUGUGAUAUCUGAACUGAAAAAGCUGCACCAAUCUGAGGAUACUGGUCCAAGAAGAGACAAGACCAGAGACUAUGAGGCGCAAGCAGAGAGCAUCCACACAGCGUCCAACCAGAAAGGCCAGUGUCCUUCCUCUAUAAAGGCAGCCAGGGACAGAUGUCCCAGAGCCAGGAGGGAGAGAGAGAGAACACAGCACCUGCCACUAGUCAAGAGAAAGGAGCUUUAAGUUGUACAAUCACUGCCAGACCUCAAGGCCCUGGCAAGCCAUCCAACUAGGGCAUUUUCAGGAACCCAAGAUUCUCAGAAAUGAUACUCCUCCCCUCCCAAAAUAAAAAAAGCUCCUUUAUAGUCAAAAACGAAAACAAGUAAUCAAAAUAUACAAAGCACAUGUAUCAAAUUUAAAUUUCCUUUAUCAGAAUGAUGAUCUGGUUCACCUAUGAGAACUGGAUCUACAACCCCAUGUAAAAAACAAACAGGUACAGGACAUCAGCAACAACAAAAAAACAAUAAAAGAUGAUUUUACUAUCUCUGACGACUCCAACUGCAUACAGAGAAAACGGAUAAGAUUAGCCACUUUUUAUAGGCUUUUUCUUCAGGAGAGACUAACCUCACCCACCUCUCAACUCUGCAGCCCACAAAUGCCUUCUACUGAAGGCAACAACAAAAGUUAACCCUUUGGCAGUGUGCAAAACCACAAUGAGCUGUCCUGUGACAGGGCUACAUACC
ensembl:lncRNA